rnacentral:rRNA from 1 species
UAAUUUGAGAGUUUGAUCCUGGCUCAGGACGAACGCUGGCGGCGUGCCUAAUACAUGCAAGUCGAACGAACUCUGGUAUUGAUUGGUGCUUGCAUCAUGAUUUACAUUUGAGUGAGUGGCGAACUGGUGAGUAACACGUGGGAAACCUGCCCAGAAGCGGGGGAUAACACCUGGAAACAGAUGCUAAUACCGCAUAACAACUUGGACCGCAUGGUCCGAGUUUGAAAGAUGGCUUCGGCUAUCACUUUUGGAUGGUCCCGCGGCGUAUUAGCUAGAUGGUGAGGUAACGGCUCACCAUGGCAAUGAUACGUAGCCGACCUGAGAGGGUAAUCGGCCACAUUGGGACUGAGACACGGCCCAAACUCCUACGGGAGGCAGCAGUAGGGAAUCUUCCACAAUGGACGAAAGUCUGAUGGAGCAACGCCGCGUGAGUGAAGAAGGGUUUCGGCUCGUAAAACUCUGUUGUUAAAGAAGAACAUAUCUGAGAGUAACUGUUCAGGUAUUGACGGUAUUUAACCAGAAAGCCACGGCUAACUACGUGCCAGCAGCCGCGGUAAUACGUAGGUGGCAAGCGUUGUCCGGAUUUAUUGGGCGUAAAGCGAGCGCAGGCGGUUUUUUAAGUCUGAUGUGAAAGCCUUCGGCUCAACCGAAGAAGUGCAUCGGAAACUGGGAAACUUGAGUGCAGAAGAGGACAGUGGAACUCCAUGUGUAGCGGUGAAAUGCGUAGAUAUAUGGAAGAACACCAGUGGCGAAGGCGGCUGUCUGGUCUGUAACUGACGCUGAGGCUCGAAAGUAUGGGUAGCAAACAGGAUUAGAUACCCUGGUAGUCCAUACCGUAAACGAUGAAUGCUAAGUGUUGGAGGGUUUCCGCCCUUCAGUGCUGCAGCUAACGCAUUAAGCAUUCCGCCUGGGGAGUACGGCCGCAAGGCUGAAACUCAAAGGAAUUGACGGGGGCCCGCACAAGCGGUGGAGCAUGUGGUUUAAUUCGAAGCUACGCGAAGAACCUUACCAGGUCUUGACAUACUAUGCAAAUCUAAGAGAUUAGACGUUCCCUUCGGGGACAUGGAUACAGGUGGUGCAUGGUUGUCGUCAGCUCGUGUCGUGAGAUGUUGGGUUAAGUCCCGCAACGAGCGCAACCCUUAUUAUCAGUUGCCAGCAUUAAGUUGGGCACUCUGGUGAGACUGCCGGUGACAAACCGGAGGAAGGUGGGGAUGACGUCAAAUCAUCAUGCCCCUUAUGACCUGGGCUACACACGUGCUACAAUGGAUGGUACAACGAGUUGCGAACUCGCGAGAGUAAGCUAAUCUCUUAAAGCCAUUCUAAGUUCGGAUUGUAGGCUGCAACUCGCCUACAUGAAGUCGGAAUCGCUAGUAAUCGCGGAUCAGCAUGCCGCGGUGAAUACGUUCCCGGGCCUUGUACACACCGCCCGUCACACCAUGAGAGUUUGUAACACCCAAAGUCGGUGGGGUAACCUUUUAGGAACCAGCCGCCUAAGGUGGGACAGAUGAUUAGGGUGAAGUCGUAACAAGGUAGCCGUAGGAGAACCUGCGGCUGGAUCACCUCCUUU